rnacentral:rRNA from 1 species
GGUUGUGAUCAUACCAACACUAAUGCACCGGAUCCCAUCAGAACUCCGCAGUUAAGCGUGCUUGGGCGAGAGUAGUACUAGGAUGGGUGACCCCCUGGGAAGUCCUCGUGUUGCAACCCC